rnacentral:rRNA from 1 species
UACGGAGGGUGCAAGCGUUAUCCGGAUUCACUGGGUUUAAAGGGUGCGUAGGUGGGCAGUUAAGUCAGUGGUGAAAUCUCCGGGCUCAACCCGGAAACUGCCAUUGAUACUAUCUAUCUUGAAUAUCGUGGAGGUAAGCGGUAAUAUGUCAUGUAGCGGUGAAAUGCUUAGAUAUGACAUAGAACACCAAUUGCGAAGGCAGCUUACUACCCGAAUAUUGACACUGAGGCACGAAAGCGUGGGGAUCAAACAGG